ACCGAAAUAGCACAGUUGGGAGAGCGUUAAACUAUAAAUCGAAAAGUCCCUGGUUCGAACUCGGGUUCAGGCA
rnacentral:tRNA from 1 species